rnacentral:rRNA from 1 species
UACGUAGGGGGCGAGCGUUGUCCGGAUUUAUUGGGCGUAAAGAGCUCGUAGGCGGCUUGGCAAGUCGGGUGUGAAACCUCCAGGCUCAACCUGGAGACGCCACUCGAUACUGCUAUGGCUAGAGUCCGGUAGGGGACCACGGAAUUCCUGGUGUAGCGGUGAAAUGCGCAGAUAUCAGGAGGAACACCGGUGGCGAAGGCGCUGCUCUGGGCCGGUACUGACGCUGAGGAGCGAAAGCGUGGGUAGCAAACAGG